AUAAACUAGGGUUAGUGGGCUUUGCCCACUGUCUCUUACCCAUGUCUUUUGAGUACUUACGUUUCCUCGGUGGGCUCGCCCGCCGGUUGGACAAUUUAAACCAUUUGCAGUUGCAAUCAGCGUCUGAAAAACAUAAUAGUUACAACUUUCAACAACGGAUCUCUUGGUUCUGGCAUCGAUGAAGAACGCAGCGAAAUGCGAUAAGUAGUGUGAAUUGCAGAAUUCAGUGAAUCAUCGAAUCUUUGAACGCACAUUGCGCCCCUUGGUAUUCCAUGGGGCAUGCCUGUUCGAGCGUCAUUUGUACCUUCAAGCUCUGCUUGGUGUUGGGUGUUUGUCUCGCCUUGCGCGUAGACUCGCCUUAAAACAAUUGGCAGCCGGCGUAUUGAUUUCGGAGCGCAGUACAUCUCGCGCUUUGCACUCAUAACGACGACGUCCAAAAGUACUUUUUACACUCUUGACCUCGGAUCAGGUAGGGAUACCCGCUGAACUUAAGCAUAUCAAA
rnacentral:rRNA from 1 species